AUUGAACGCUGGCGGAAUGCUUUACACAUGCAAGUCGAACGGCAGCACGGGGGCAGCCCUGGUGGCGAGUGGCGAACGGGUGAGUAAUACAUCGGAACGUGCCCGGUCGUGGGGGAUAACGUAGCGAAAGUUACGCUAAUACCGCAUACGAUCUGAGGAUGAAAGCGGGGGACCUUCGGGCCUCGCGCGAUCGGAGCGGCCGAUGUCAGAUUAGGUAGUUGGUGGGGUAAAGGCCUACCAAGCCGACGAUCUGUAGCUGGUCUGAGAGGACGACCAGCCACACUGGGACUGAGACACGGCCCAGACUCCUACGGGAGGCAGCAGUGGGGAAUUUUGGACAAUGGGCGCAAGCCUGAUACAGCCAUUCCGCGUGCAGGACGAAGGCCUUCGGGUUGUAAACUGCUUUUGUACGGAACGAAAAGGCUCUGGCUAAUACCUGGGGCUCAUGACGGUACCGGAAGAAUAAGCACCGGCUAACUACGUG
rnacentral:rRNA from 1 species